GGUGAACCUGCGGAGGGAUCAUUGAAACCGAUCAAUCCACUCACAGAGCACCAGCGGGGUUCGCCCCGCCGUAGUUUUGGAUCCGCCGGUCCUCGCGGGCCGGUUGGAGCCUCCAACCCAGCAAACCCUCUGCCCUGAAGCAGCUUCGCACGGGGACACCCCCUGCGACGUUAACCAGAGACAACUCUCAACAACGGAUAUCUAGGCUCUCGCAACGAUGAAGAACGCAGCGAAAUGCGAUACGUAGUGUGAAUUGCAGAAUUCCGUGAGUCAUCGAAUCUUUGAACGCACAUUGCCGGUCGACUCUUCGGAGGAGACCACAUCUGCCUCAGCGUCGGAAUACCCCCUCACCCGUGCGGACAUGCGUGUCCGCACAGUGGAACUGGCCCCCCCGGGCGCGACCUCGUCGCCCGGGCCGGCUGAAAUGCAGAGGCUCGCGCGCGGCCCACUCGUGGCCCCGACUAGGUAGGUAGCUCGCUACUGCUAGGCGGCGGCUCGGCGCUCGCGUGCUGUGGGCCCGAAAGGAUAACCCCUCAUUCAUUCGACCUGAGUUCAGGUGAGGCUACCCGCUGAACUUAAGCAUAUCAAUAAGC
rnacentral:rRNA from 1 species